AUCGAAGGAACUCCCGGUGUGAUAUAUGACUCGAUUAUAUCACAGCAGUAGUUACCUGAUAU
rnacentral:pre_miRNA from 2 species